rnacentral:rRNA from 1 species
CAGUCGCCGCGGUAACACGUAGGGUGCAAGCGUUAAUCGGAAUUACUGGGCGUAAAGCGUGCGCAGGCGGUUUGUUAAGACAGAUGUGAAAUCCCCGGGCUUAACCUGGGAACUGCAUUUGUGACUGGUAAGCUAGAGUCUGGCAGAGGGGGGUGGAGUUCCGCGUGUAGCAGUGAAAUGCGUAGAUAUGCGGAGGAACACCGAUGGCGAAGGCAGCCCCCUGGGCCAACACUGACGCUCAUGCACGAAAGCGUGGGGAGCAAACAGGAUUAGAUACCCGUGUAGUCCAUGUCUCUUAUAC